CACCCGAUGGCACAAUGGUUAGUGCGUCUGCAAACCAUUAUUGUUUAGAGUAAAUGGUUCUAGGCAGAAGUUUCCCGUUCGAUUCGGGAUCGGGUGA